rnacentral:misc_RNA from 1 species
CUAUGACAACCAGGUGUGGAGCGGCCUCCAGGACACUCGUCCUGGGCGGUAGAGGGUUACCUUUCACGCGACACAUGUCUGAAUCCUUUUAUUUACGAGCACCUUCGUUCUCCUUCGGCCGGAGUACCAGCCGUUGGAAAUCAUCAAAACCCUUUUUGCAUGUAGCAUUACCCGUUCCGAUACAAAUAAUCGUUA